AUGAAUAGAACGGGCCGACUUGACCUGAUCAACUCGGUCCUCACUGCCACCAUCAUCUAUUUCCUCACGUCUUUCUUCCCCAGCAGCUGGUUCACUACCAAAUUUGAUAAGUUAAGGAGAAAUUUCCUAUGGAACGCCGAUGAGGAGGCGCAUGGGGGAAAAUGUCUGGUUAACUGGAAGAGAAUCUGUGCACCUUUAAGCGUGGGUGGGCUGGGCAUCAAGGAUAUCAAUGCUUUUGGCCGGGCUCUUCGCCUUCGAUGGCCUUGGUUUGAAUGGGAUAGCUCGGACAGGUCAUGGAAAGGGACCCCGGUGCCUUGCAAUCAAUCUGACCUUGAUCUUUUUGCGGCAUGCACUUCGAUUUCUCUGGGAGAUGGCCGUUUAGUGAAAUUCUGGAGUCAUAGAUGGUUAGAGGGCCAAGCUCCAAAAGAUUGGGCACCUGAUCUUUUCAUGGCAAGGUCCAAAGGGCUCUCUGUCAUUCAGGCUCUUGAUGGAGAUGCAUGGAUGAGAGGACUGCAGAAUAUCAACUAUGCUGGGCUGAUGAACUCAUUUAUUAACCUCUGGAUGAAAUUAUAGAAUAUUUCCUUGCUCUCUAGACCUGACACUAUCACUUGGAAGCUAACGGCUAGCGGGCAAUACACGGCACAAUCGGCUUACCAAGUUUAGUUCUUGGCGCGUAUCCCACAACCACACCUGCAGCAGGUCUGGAAGAUUACAACUGAAAAGAAAGUAAAGUUCUUCAUCUGA
rnacentral:rRNA from 1 species